CCCCUGCUUUCCAAUGCAACCUUAAAGCUUUCAGGCUCGCUUUGGUCCCAUAAACCGUCUCCCUCCUCUCUCUGUCUCAUUGCCUUCGCCGUUCCACUCCACAUUUGUUCGUCCAUUUCUUCCCAACUUCAUUCUCUGCUCCCCCUCAAAAUCCCAACUUCUUCUUCUUCUUCUUCUUCUUCUUCUUCUUCUUCUUCUUCUUCUUCUGCAUUGGUCCUGUUUAGGAAGAUUUAAUCCGGUUCAACUCGCUUCUUGUGUUGUUGUUGUUGUUGGUUUAGUCGAGGAUUUUUGUGUUUCGUAGUGAAAGUUGGGAUUUUGGACAUGGAAGGAGGAAGACGGGGGAUGGACAGCUUGGUGACGGCCAGGCGCACGCUGGUGGUGAGCCUGGAGAAGUCGCGGACGCUGGGCACCGCCCUCGCGCGCGCCGGCCCCCGCCUCGACGAGAUCCGGCAGCGCCUCCCCUCGCUGGAGGCCGCUGUCCGCCCGAUCCGCGCCGACCGCGGGAAGCUCGCCGCAGCGGGCGGGCAUAUCGACCGCGCCGUUGGCCCUGCUGCCGCCGUGCUCAAGGUGUUCGACGCGGUCCACGGCCUCGAGCGGUCCCUCCUCGCCGACCUCCGCGCCGAUCUCUUCGGCUACCUGUCGGUCCUCAAGCGCCUCGAGGAGGCCCUCCGGUUUCUCUCUGAGAACUGUGGCCUCGCGGUGCAGUGGCUCGACGACAUUGUGGAGUACCUCGACGACCACUCCCUCGCCGACCCCCGCUUCAUCGAGGCCCUCAAGGCCUCCCUCGACUCCGUCAAGCCCUCACCUUCGGCUCUCGACGGCGGUCUCCUCGUUGCCGCCCUCGACAAGCUCGAAUCUCAGUUCCGGCGCCUCCUGGCCGAUCACACCGUCCCUCUUCAAAUGCCAUCCGACAUCGUCGGCGUCCCCGCCAUCGCCCCUUCCCCCAUUCCUGUCUCUGUCAUCAACAAGCUCCGCGCCAUCCUCGAGCGUACCACUGCAAACGACCGGCUUGAUCGCUGCAUCUCCAUCUAUGUCGACGUGCGAGGGUCCAAUGUCCGCGCCAGCCUCCGCGCGCUCGACCUCGAGUACCUCGAGAUCACGCCCGCCGAGUUCAACGGCGUGCAGAGCAUCGAAGGGUACAUCCAGAAGUGGUGCCGCCACCUCGAGUUUGCCAUCAAGCACCUCUUCGAGGCCGAGUUCAAGGUGUGCAUCGAGGUGUUCGAGCGUGCUGGACCGCGAGAUGUAGCCCUGUCAUGCUUCGCGGAGAUUGCUGCACACGCUGGGAUGCUCGCGUUCCUCCGGUUUGGGAAGACGGUCACCGAGACAAGGAAAGAUCCCAUCAAACUACUCAAGCUUCUUGAUAUCUUUGCGACAUUGAACAGAUUAAGGUUGGACUUCAACCGGAUUUUUGGAGGAAAGGCUUGUGCUGAGAUCCAGAAUCAAACAAGGGAUCUUAUCAAGAGAGUGAUUGAUGGGGCUUGUGAGAUCUUUUGGGAGCUCUUGCAUCAAGUGGAGCUGCAAAGACAGAUGCCACCACCUUCCGAUGGAGCUGUGCCAAAGCUGGUGUCCUUCGUCACUGAUUACUGCAACAAGCUUCUCAGCGAGGAGCAUCUGCCGGUGCUCACUCAGGUUCUGAUCAUAAAUCGGAGCUGGAAGCAGGAGAAGUUCCAAGAGAGACUCCUAACUGAUGCAAUUUUGGACAUAUUUAAAGCCCUCGAGGCAAAUUUUGAGACUUGGUCCAAGAGCUAUGAGGACAUUCCUCUUUCCUAUCUAUUCGCGAUGAACACACAUUGGCAUUUCUACAAGAAUCUGAAGGGGACCAAGCUGGGGGAGCUAUUAGGUGAGGCAAAGUUGAAGGAGCAUGAGCAGUACAAGGAUUACUAUGCUACAUAUUUCCUGAGGGAAAGCUGGGGAAAGCUUCCAUCUCUACUGAGUAGGGAAGGGUUGAUAUUGUUCUCAGGGGGUAGAAGCAAGGCACGGGAUCUGGUGAAGCAGCGAUUGAAAGCUUUCAAUAAGUCCUUCGAUGAGAUGUAUCAGAAGCAGUCAACUUGGGUUAUAUCAGAUAAGGAAUUGAGGGAGAAACUAUGUCAUUCGAUAGUGCAGACGAUUGUUCCUAGUUACCGGAGCUAUAUGCAGAACUAUGGGCCUCUGGUGGAGCAAGACGCAAGCGCAAGCAAAUAUGCAAAGUACACAGCCCAAAGCUUGGAGAACAUGCUUGGUUCUCUUUUCCUGCAUAAGCCUGGGAGAACAAUGAGUCUCAACAUUAGGCACUCAAAUGGAAAAUUGAAUAGUGUAAUGACUAGCGUGUCUCGCUCUGCCUCAACUGUGAGCUGAUGAAGUCAUUUCUGUUUUUUAGGAUGGAAGGGAAAGUAACCGUGGUUUCUCAUUUUCUCAUGUGUAUAGCAGUUAAAAGCAUGAGGACUGGGUCUGCAGCAAUUGGUGUUGGUUCAAUGAGCAUAUCAUGGUCAUAUGCUUGGAGCGGUGGUAUGGGUUGGCGGCUAGAUAUAUCAGUUUGUACAAAGGUUUUCACGGAUGAUCGGUUAGGGAGCAUUAACUGUGGAACCUAGCUAUCAAGCAUGCUACAGACAAACUAAUUUGCACGUCUUGAGAAACAAAGACGAUGGAGGGGGACACUAGGAUUGGUGUCUUGACACUCAUCUAGCAGAAGCUACUUCACUAUACUGCUUUAGAGACCAAAUGAAUGUGACAUGAAGAUGAAGAAGAAUCACUACUUGGAUCCAUGCUCCCUCUUCCAUGCAUCACCCCAUUGAAGGCCAUGGCCACUCUCACACACCAUCUUUUUCUUCAGUGAACUCAGAGAUGUCUCUCUUGCUACCAUAUGGUUCCAAUUUGUGCACCACAAGCAAUAGGUUGCAGCAUAUUUAUCCCCUCGAGCAUUGUCAAGAUGAAUGCAUCAAGUAACCUUCUUGUCUACAUCUUACUUGUAUCAGACUUGUCUACAUCUUCCAUCACAGUGGAUGCAUCAAAGGUGAUUGGGGCUUAUAAAGCAGCAGUAAAAGCCUUUACUUUUUCUAAAACAGUCUUUUACUUUUCAA